AGCAUGUUAGCUCAGCAGGUGGAGCGUCGGGCUCAUGACCUAGACCCUGGAUCGAAACCAGGACAUGCUA
rnacentral:tRNA from 4 species